rnacentral:lncRNA from 1 species
CCUGCCUUCCUCACCUGGACAGAGACCAAGGCAUUGAGAUGGGGCUGUUUUCUAAAAGAUCACUCAGCUUUCAGAUGCAAGCAGGAAUCUGUUUUUUAUCUCUACAGAGAACUUCUGACAUGAAAAAGUCUGAUUUUUCAAGUAGAGCCUAUUGAAUCAGUGACUAUUGGUGACAACUAAAAAUGAGUGAUGAGCCUGGACUACAUGAAGAUCAGGGACGUGGCUUAGAGAGGCAGAAUGGUGUUGGCACAGUCCUUUCUAUCCGGAAAUUCCUGAGAGGCUGCAUUUCCCAAGGGAUGCGAGGUGAAAAUUGGAAGUGCCAGAGCCAGGCUCCCAUGCAGCACUCUCAGAGCCCAGUGUGUGCUCUUGUGUCAGCCACUGCACUACAGUAGGAGAAUCUCCAGUUCUGAAGAGUUUCAGCUUUAGGAGAAUGGUAACAGAACGAAGGACAUUGGGGACUGUGCAAUUUCAACCCUCUUAUUUCAACCCUCUCAAACUGCAAGAAAAAUUCUAUCCCAAAAAACGAACUAAGCAGCAUACCAGGACACAGCCAGGUAAUCCAGCCAAACUGCAAUAAUGCAAAGUGCCUCUACUUCGUCAUUUCAUAUUUUAUUCCCCCAUUAAAAAAAAAAAAAAAAAAAAAAAAACCAAAACGCUUUCUUAAGAGAUUUCACUUGUAAAGAACAAAAUAAUCAUGUUGUUAUUAUAUACUCCAAGUCCUUCAGCAAAGAAAAGCACCGGCAUUGAUGAACAAUCAGGACUUCACCUGAAAAUGCAGCCAGACUUCCUCUUCAGAGGAUGAGUAACAGGGCUGGGGGUGCCCAUGGGGUGCACAUGUAGGUGUAACUCCUGGUCAGAGCAGGAUGGAUCUCGUUUGCACAGAAAAAUUAGAUGUGCUUUUUGAGUGCUCCAGGUGUUGUACCACACAGGCACUGAACUGUUCGGCUUUAAAAAUGCCCUGGAGUGAAUUUAUGCCCAUAAUCAACUCGAGCAUCUCUGUUGCUAUCAUGAAUCAUUAAAAACCUCAUUUGCAACCCCAAAAGCAAAACUGUUCUCAAAAUUAAGUAGAGCUCCCCAGCUCCAUACUUAAAUGAGAUAAAAGCAGCAGGACUCUGGGUGAUGGAUGGCUCCCUUUUAUCAUCACCAGGAGUGACUGUUUGCUUAGGAGAGGGUCUUUGAUCUUACCUCCCGUUUUUAAAUGUGGCAGAAAUAAGCAAUCUCCCAAAGAAGACUGAUUUCAUGGAGACUUCCUGGCUCACAGCACAGCCUCGCAUGUUCCAUUUAAUAUUAUGUUACUACAUUUUCAAACUGUUCAGAGGUUACUUCAGUGCAAUUAAACUAAUUCCAGAAUUGAAACACAGCAGUUUGAGGGCUGCUAGUUGUGAGGUGCAGAGAGGGCAUUUCUAAAGCAUUUACCAAUUUUCUCCUGUGU